ACGAAACCCCACAGCUCCUAAGAAUUCUCUCACCUGCCUUCUGCCCUUAAGCUCCGGUAGAUUGCAAAUAACCUGCUUUCUUUCUGUUCCCGAGCUGCGUUCGGACCCAUGUCUUAUUGUAAAUCCCACGCAAGCUGCGUUCGGACCCGUCUGAUCGUAAAUCCCAUGUAAGGUACCUGCCGUCGGAAGAUUUGAACGUUCUACUUGGACACCUAAAACCCACAGUCCUCCAGAAAACACAAGGACAAACCCUACUGUGAAGCAGUGGAGACUGGAGUCCUGCAUUUGCUGAACUUUCUUUUUAUGUGUUGGAUUCUGAUUUUAUAUUCAUUUCCAUUCAUGUGGACUCUGAAGAGUUAAACUCACCAAGGACACUUGAAGAAGUCACGUCCAGGGAUCACUGUCAUCACAAAUGGAGAAAAGGCCAAUGUCUUUCCAUGCUGCCUCACCAGAAAAGGACUGAGUUGAGAUAUUUUACAGCUGAGAAGGAAAUUAUGCAGCCUGUAGGAUAAAUUCCUCUCCUGGCAGAUUGAGUGGAUGUAGCACCAGAAGCUCCCAGAAUAAUCACAACUU
rnacentral:lncRNA from 1 species